rnacentral:rRNA from 1 species
UUGAUCCUGCCGGACCCGACUGCUAUCAGAGUGGGACUAAGCCAUGCGAGUCAGCGCAGCAAUGCGUGGCAUACGGCUCAGUAACACGUAGUCAACAUGCCCAGGGGACGCGGAUAACCUCGGGAAACUGAGGAUAAACCGCGAUAGGCCAAGGUUUCUGGAAUGGACACUGGCUGAAACCUACAUGGCCCCUGGAUUGGACUGCGGCCGAUCAGGCUGUUGGUGAGGUAAUGGCCCACCAAACCUGUAACCGGUACGGGCUUUGAGAGAAGGAGCCCGGAGAUGGGCACUGAGACAAGGGCCCAGGCCCUAUGGGGCGCAGCAGGCGCGAAAAUUCUGCAAUAGGCGAAAGCUUGACAGAGUUACUCUGAGUGAUGCCCGCUAAGGGCAUCUUUUGGCACCUCUAAAAAUGGUGCAGAAUAAGGGGUGGGCAAGUCUGGUGUCAGCCGCCGCGGUAAUACCAGCACCCCGAGUGGUCGGGACGAUUAUUGGGCCUAAAGCGUCCGUAGCUUGUUCUGCAAGUCUUCCGUUAAAUCCACCUGCUCAACAGAUGGGCUGCGGGAGAUACUACAGGGCUAGGAGGCGGGAGAGGCAAGCGGUACUCAGUGGGUAGGGGUAAAAUCCUCUGAUCCACUGAAGACCACCAGUGGCGAAGGCGGCUUGCCAGAACGCGCUCGACGGUGAGGGAUGAAAGCUGGGGGAGCAAACCGGAUUAGAUACC